AGAAUGAAACUACCUCCUCCAGAGAAACCAGCCAAGAGAUGCAGAGAAAUGGAGCACCUCCAGCUUCAGCGAUGUCCCCGGAUCCACUCUUCAUGGGAAGCAGUCCCAUCUUUAGCUCCCCAGGUCUUACAUCUUUAAAGCAGCAAGUCUGUCCCCUUCGUGCUCAUUGAGACUAUCUGAUACCUUCAUGUUUGGACUCAUCCAGCCCCCAUCUCCUCAGUCUAUCUCAGAUCUGACAGUGGAGGCUGCUUUGUCCAGGACCAACCUUUUCUCUUGCCUCAUUUCUGCUAUGCCAGCUGAUGAAGAGCAUGCUAUGCCCUCAGCUUCUUGGACUUCACCCUGGCCCUGGAAGUCUGCCGGAAAUCACUGAGGGUUUCUGUAUUGUUGAAUGAUGCGAUCUGCCUUCCUUUGGGAAGAUAACCUUGUCCUGGGGUUAGGAAGAGGAGGAAGAGCUCUACACCCACCUGAUCUGUUCUGGAGCCAGACUUCCUUGGUUCAAAUCCCAAUUCUGCCACAUACUACCUCUGUUACUUUGGGGAAGGGGAGCUCUUCCAGGCCUCUGACUUGUGAAGACAGACACUGCAGAGGACUUUUUGCUGAGAAAAGAAGCUGAAUGAAGGGAUGGAUGUCUUUAAAAGGCCCGGUCUUGGGGGUCCAUCACCUCUCUAAGAACCAUCUUCAUCUCCUCCUCCUCUGUGCCCUUCCAGGAAAAGAGGAGCAGACUCCUCUGCUCCCAGGUGGAGAAAAGCAUGAAUUCUUUAAAAUACUUUGAGUGUAGAGUAUGGGUGUGUGGAAAACUUCCUGGAGGAGGUGAGAUGAUCUAAGGGAGGCACGUUGCUCUUGUGGGAUGGAGCAGAGCAUUCAGGGUGGAGAUUCCUGGAUGAUAUGGACAGAGGCAGAGUGAAGUUUCACAUUUUGGAGGAUGGAUAUAGCUGGGCUGCUUUGAAAGAGACAUAUCAAGAUGGAAGUGGACCCAACAUAAAAGUUAGUGGACACGACACAAAAUUGAGUGGCAGGCAUCAAUGAUUUGGAUCAGUCACCCGAGCACAUUCCCUGGAAUUCCAGCAAGUUCACAGAAGGGAUUUUCCUUCUUCAAGCCCCUCUCCCUGCCCUGCCAAUUCUUGACAGUGAUGUUAAACCACACCUGCUUGGCCCCUGAGACAUCUCUCACCUGCCCCGGGUCCUACAGGAAGAUGAACUGCCAAGGUGAAAAGGCUCAUGGCAAGAGCGUGUGUGUCCUGGGUGUGUGCCAACUUAGAAUCACAAGAAAAAGUUAACUAAGAGAUUCAUGGGACAAUGGUUACUGUCAACAAACAUUUGGUGGAUGGUCACACAUUUGGUUCUGACUUGUCCUCUGGAGAUCAAGGAAUUAGAACGGAGACAGAGGUGGGAGUUUCUAAAAAGAGGAGUUUAAUUUUAAUGUAAAGAAUAACUUCCAGUGGGCAGAACUUGAACACUGAACCUUGAAAUGGAUAGAAUGAGCUGCUUUGGAGGUCCAAGAGGCAUGGCACUGCAGUUGUCUAAGCAGGCAAUCAACAGCACUUGCCAGGGACAAUGAAUAGGAGAAUCCAGCCGUAGUGUGUGUGUGUGCGUGUGUGUGAGAGAGAAGUGAAUAAAUCAUUUCAAAACAAUCACAGGACCAUUUUGUGAAAACUUCUGAAUUUGUCUACCACAGCUGAGUACUCAUUUCAGUCUUGUGGAGACUAUCUGAAACCUAAACAGGUUCUUUGCUUCUUUGAUUUUUCUAGUUCAUACAUGCCCAAGGCUCAAUAAGAUAAACAGUCAUUUGCAGGGAGAAAACCUGGGUAUUUAUUCUUGGCUUUCUUUUGUUCUUUUCAAAAAUAGAGAUCUUUGUUUGACGAGAAACAGCAUUGCUUCUCUCUAGAGCAGAGAUCAAUAAUGGCUUUUCUGCUAGAGCUAGCAUGUAUAUUUUCUUUAUUUCCAAGGGAUCACUACUGGGAACAGGGAAGCAGAAAGCCCUCAUUCAACUGGAUGCCCUAGAACUUUUGCUUU
rnacentral:lncRNA from 1 species